AGAGUUUGAUCCUGGCUCAGAACGAACGCUGGCGGCAGGCCUAACACAUGCAAGUCGAACGCCCCGCAAGGGGAGUGGCAGACGGGUGAGUAACGCGUGGGAACCUUCCCAUUGGUACGGAAUAGCCCAGGGAAACUUGGAGUAAUACCGUAUGUGCCCGAAAGGGGAAAGAUUUAUCGCCAAUGGAUGGGCCCGCGUCG
rnacentral:rRNA from 1 species